GUCUCUGGCCAUGCCCCCCUGAACGAGCCUGAUUCCUUUUGAUCUCAGAAGCUUAGCAGGGUUGGGCCUGGUUAGUACUUGGAUGGGAGACCACCUAGGAAGACCAGGUGUAGGUAUA
rnacentral:rRNA from 1 species